UGGCCAAAUCAGAACUCAAACUAGCGUGGCC
rnacentral:piRNA from 1 species